CCUACGGGUGGCAGCAGUGGGGAAUAUUGCACAAUGGGGGAAACCCUGAUUCAGCGACGCCGCGUGAAGGAAGAAGUAUUUCGGUAUGUAAACUUCUAUCAGCAGGGAAGAAAAUGACGGUACCUGACUAAGAAGCCCCGGCUAACUACGUGCCAGCAGCCGCUGUAAUACGUAGGGGGCAAGCGUUCUCCGGAUUUACUGGGUGAAAAGGGAGCGGCGGCGGUUUAGCAAGUCAGAAGUGAAAGCCCGCGGCUCAACUCCGGGACUGCUUUUGAAACUGUUGAACUAGAUGGCAGGAGAGGGAAGUGGAAUUCCUAUGGUAGCGGUGAAAGGCGUAGAUAUUAGGAGGAACACCAGUGGCGAAGGCGGCUUACUGGACUGUAAACGACGCUGAGGCUCGAAAGCGUGGGGAGCAAACAGGAUUAGAUACCCUAGUAGUC
rnacentral:rRNA from 1 species